GAAUACUUGUCGGAGUGCCCUAACUGAAGGGCUGAGAUCGCAAAUGCGGGAUCCGUUAACCUGAUCAGGCUCACACCUGCGUAGGGAACAAGCUUGCCUCGGCA
rnacentral:ncRNA from 1 species